ACCCAAAUAUGUUCCACUCCAACGAGAGGGAUUUCAUGGUGAAAAACUACCGGGAAGAGUCGCAUAUACCCAAAUAUGUUCCACUCCAACGAGAGGGAUUUCAUGGUGAAAAACUACCGGGAAGAGUCACAUAUACCCAAAUAUGUUCCACUCCAACGAGAGGGAUUUCAUGGUGAAAAACUACCGGGAAGAGUCGCAUGUUAGUAUUUGCUAAUUACAAUUGUACUUGAAACUAUGUUAAUAUAAGGGAGACAAUAAAAAUAUGUUUUACUGUAACAAUAGCUUAGAAUUGUAUGAUAAAUUUGGUCUUAAAUCAAUUUCUUUUAUUCAAAUUU